GGUUUGAUUCGCCUAGAUUGGAACGCUGGCGGGAUGUUUACACAUGCAAGUCGAACGACAGCACGGACUUCGGUCUGGUGCCGAGUGGCGAACGGGUGAGUAAUGUAUCGAACGUGCCUAGUAGCGGGGGAUAACUACGCGAGUUGCAUAAUACCGCAUACGCUCCUUCGGGGAAAGCGGGGACCUUUCGGGCCUCGCACUAUUAGAGCGGCUGAUAUCGGAUUAGCUAGUUGGUGGGGUAACGGCUCACCAAGGCGACGAUCCGUAGCUGGUUUGAGAGGACGACCAGCCACACUGGGACUGAGAUACGGCCCAGACUACGGGCAGCAGUGGGGAAUUUUGGACAAUGGGGAAACCCUUGAUCCAGCCAUCCCGCGUGUGCGAUGAGGGCCUCGGGUUGUAAAGCACUUUUGGCAGGAAAGAAAACGCACGGGAUAAUACCCCGCAACUGACGGUACCUGCAGAAUAAGCACCGGCUACAACCUACGUGCCAGCAGCCGCGGUAAUACGUAGGGUGCAAGCGUUAAUCGGAAUAUUGGGCGUAAAGCGUGCGCAGGCGGUUCGGAAAGAAAGAUGAAAUCCCAGAGCUUAACUUUGGAACUGCAUUUUUAACUACCGAGCUAGAGGUCAGAGGGAGGUGGAAUUCGCGUGUAGCAGGCAAAUGCGUAGAUAUGCGGAGGAACACCGAUGGCGAAGGCAGCUUCCCGGGAUAACACUGACGCUCAUGCACGAAAGCGUGGGGAGCAAACAGGAUUAGAUAAUUCUGCAGUCCACGCCCUAAACGAUGUCAACUAGCUGUUGGGGCCUUCAGCCUUGCAGCGCAGCUAACGCGUGAAGUUGACCGCCUGGGGAGUACGGUCGCAAGAUUAAAACUCAAAGGAAUUGACGGGGACCCGCACAAGCGGUGGAUGAUGUGGAUUAAUUCGAUGCACGCGAAAAAACUCCACUACCCUUGACAUGUCUGGAAUCCCGAAGAGAUUUGGGAGUGCUCGCAAGAGAACCGAACACAGGUGCUGCAUGGCUGUCGUCAGCUCGUGUCGUGAGAUGUUGGGUUAAGUCCCGCAACGAGCGCAACCCUUGUCAUUAGUUGCUACGAAAGGGCACUCUAAUGAGACUGCCGGUGACAAACUGGAGUGAAGGUGGGGAUGACGUCAAGUCCUCAUGGCCCUUAUGGGUAGGGCUUCACACGUCAUACAAUGGUCGGGACAGAGGGUCGCCAACCCGCGAGGGGGAGCCAAUCCCAGAAACCCGAUCGUAGUCCGGAUCGCAGUUCGCAACUCGACUGCGUGAAGUCGGAAUCGCUAGUAAUCGCGGAUCAGCAUGUCGCGGUGAAUACGUUCCCGGGUCUUGUACACACCGCCCGUCACACCAUGGGAGUGGGUUUUACCAGAAGUAGUUAGCCUAACCGUAAGGAGGGCGAUUACCACGGUAGGAUUCAUGACUGGGUGAAGUCGCAUUAGCGUAA
rnacentral:rRNA from 1 species